UUAAGUAAGAAAGGGCGUACGGUGGAUGCCUAGGCACUUGAAACUGAAGAAGGACGCAACAAACGGCGAAACGCGGCGGGGAGCUGUACGUAAGCAAAGAUCCGCCGGUAUCCGAAUGGGGGAACCCGGCAUGCGUAAUAGCAUGUCAUCCGCAGAUGAACAAAUAGUCUGCGAGAGAGGUACCCGGGGAACUGAAACAUCUAAGUACCCGGAGGAAAAGAAAACAACAGUGAUUCCCUGAGUAGCGGCGAGCGAAAGGGGAGGAGCCCAAACCAGACCGAGGUCUGGGGUUGAAGGACCGCGAUACGGCAAGAAUCAUGGUAGGAGAACGGCAUUGAAAGGCCGACCGGAGAGGGUGCAAGUCCCGUAUCCGAAACCGUGAGGAAGCCCAGCGGGAUCCUGAGUACGGCGAGACACGAGAAAUCUUGUCGGAAGCAGGCGGGACCAUCCGUCAAGGCUAAAUAUAAGCAAGUGACCGAUAGUGAACCAGUACCGUGAGGGAAAGGUGAAAAGAACCGCGGGAGCGGAGUGAAACAGAACCUGAAACCGUAUGCUUACAAGAAGUCAGAGCACGUUAAGGUGUGAUGGCGUGCCUUUUGUAGAAUGAACCGGCGAGUUAUGUUAUCGUGCGAGGUUAAGCAGGAGAUGCGGAGCCGAAGCGAAAGCGAGUCUUAAGAGGGCGGCAGUACGAUGACAUAGACCCGAAACCGUGUGAUCUAGCCAUGACCAGGUUGAAGUUCAGGUGAAACUGAAUGGAGGACCGAACCGACCCCCGUUGAAAAGUUGGCGGAUGAGUUGUGGCUAGGGGAGAAAUUCCAAUCGAACACGGAUAUAGCUGGUUCUCCCCGAAAUAGCUUUAGGGCUAGCGUCGAGGAUGAGUCUUGUGGAGGUAGAGCACUGAAUGUACGAUGGCCCCAUCCCGGGGUACUGAGUAUAAUCAAACUCCGAAUGCCAUGAGAUAUUCCCGGCAGUCAGACCGUGGGUGAUAAGGUCCAUGGUCAAAAGGGAAACAGCCCAGACCGCCAGUUAAGGUCCCAAAAUGUAUGCUAAGUGGAAAAGGAUGUGGGGAUGCACAGACAACUAGGAGGUUGGCUCAGAAGCAGCCAUCCUUCAAAGAGUGCGUAACAGCUCACUAGUCGAGUGACCCUGCGCCGAAAAUGUACCGGGGCUAAGCAUACUACCGAAGCUGCGGAUUUGUAGUAAUACAAGUGGUAGGGGAGCGUUCCAUGCACGUGGAAGCCAUACCGAAAGGAGUGGUGGAGAGCAUGGAAGUGAGAAUGCCGGUGUGAGUAGCGAGAUGCAGGUGAGAAUCCUGCACACCGAUAGCCCAAGGAUUCCAGGGGAAGGUUCGUCCGCCCUGGGUAAGUCGGGACCUAAGGCGAGGCCGAAAGGCGUAGUCGAUGGAAAACAGGCAGAUAUUCCUGUACCCGCGAUGGAAAUGAAGGAAUGACGGAGAAGGCUAGCAUGAGCCACUUAUUGGAUUGUGGUCGAAGCGAAUAGCAGGUGCAUAGUCAAAUGCGUGCACGGGAUGUAAAACGUGACAGGUAAGCGAAACCUUUGGGGAGUAGCGAAGCAUGCGAGGCCAGCUUCCAGGAAAAGUUUCUAGUGCUGAUUCCAUAGCGGCCCGUACCAAAACCGACACAGGUGGGCAAGGAGAGUAUCCUGAGGUGAGCGAGAGAACUGUUGCCAAGGAACUCGGCAAAAUGACUCCGUAAGUUAGCGAGAAGGAGUGCUUAUGAAAGUAAGCCGCAGUGAAGAGGCCCAAGCGACUGUUUAACUAAAACACAGCUCUCUGCGAAGUCGCAAGACGAAGUAUAGGGGGUGACGCCUGCCCGGUGCUGGAAGGUUAAGAGGAUUUGUCAGUUUCGACGAAGCAAUGAAUUGAAGCCCCAGUGAACGGCGGCCGUAACUAUAACGGUCCUAAGGUAGCGAAAUUCCUUGUCAGGUAAGUUCUGACCCG
rnacentral:rRNA from 1 species